UACGGAGGGUGCAAGCGUUAUCCGGAUUCACUGGGUUUAAAGGGUGCGUAGGCGGGUUGGUAAGUCCGUGGUGAAAUCUCCGAGCUUAACUCGGAAACUGCCGUGGAUACUAUCAAUCUUGAAUCUCGUGGAGGUAAGCGGAAUAUGUCAUGUAGCGGUGAAAUGCUUAGAUAUGACAUAGAACACCGAUAGCGAAGGCAGCUUGCUACACGAGUAUUGACACUGAGGCACGAAAGCGUGGGGAUCAAACAGG
rnacentral:rRNA from 1 species